CCCAGCUUGGAGGUGGCCAGCCCAGCUUGCAGGUGGCCAGCCCAGGGCUGCCUCACUCGGGCUGCAGCAAAUCCACUGUCACAGUGGACGGAGCUCGGGGGCUCAGAGCUGGUUUUAGCUGAAGGCUCCCAAGACGUGCUGUGGGGAGGUAGUGGCUCCAUCCAGCUUUCUGCAGAAGGUCCCUUCCACUCCUGACCAUACUGCUGGUGGGUGGUCUGCACUCUCAGCUUUUUUCUGUGCUGUUUCCCCCAACCCUGGAGAUGUUGGACCCUGCCAUCAACUAUGGGAAACGUAAAUGGCAGUGUCUGGCUCAUCCCUAAUGAUUUACCUGGAAAUGCUGUUGUGCAGAAGGGAGAUGAAUUGCCACUUAGCUUCUAGCUCCUGCCCUCCUGCCUUUUAAAAGGGAAAUAUUGCAGUUGCUUUCUAGCCCCACUACUCCUCACCUGGCUUGUGUUUAAUUAUUAAUUCUUCCCUGCCAGGGAAGAGCCGGUGGGACUGCAACAGGAGCUGGACCAAGCUGCUGCCCCUCCAGCCCCAAACCCAACUGAGAUUCAGAACAGACCAGGAAAAACCAAAUUGUGAAGCAAACACUGUUGUGAUUCUGCUUAGUGAUAUGUGGGGUUCCACCUGGCAUUGCUCCCCUUAGGCACACACACCUUCCUCACUCCAGUAAUGCAGGAUGCUGGAGUCUGUGGGUGAGACCAAACUCCCACCAGCCUCAGGAAGAGUUAGAAAACCCUUCUAUCCUCUGAACUAAGUCUUUUUGGAAAGAGGAAAGUUCUCGCUGAUGGUUUUGGAGCAGAUGCACCCAGUGGCACAAUUUGCCAGCAAACAUUUGGGAAGGUCUAGGGUCAAGUCACGGUGUAAAAGGUGAUAUAUUACAUUUCUUUUAGUGACCAUGUGAAAAAAUGGCCCAGCUCACAAUCACUUUGGCAGGACAGAGGGAUGUGAGGCUCACCAGAGCUGUUAUUUCCAGUGGCUGAUCUGCUCAGCCUUGUUUAAUCCAUCGUCCUUGAGCCAAUCUGCUGAAGUGGCACUGAGUGCACCCCGAUGCAAAGCACAGGCUCACAAAGCUGGGGCUGGACGAGGCAUCUGGUGCACCAAGGCACCACCACCUUCUGCCUCAAGGUUUUCCAGCAGAAAAAACAAAUCCCUGAGCUUGGAAGCAUUGCAUGGACACGUGAGCUGGGGGAGGGAUGGCAGCUUUCUCCCUGCCCUUGGCCGCACCAUCAAAGUGCUGUGGGCACUGAAAAGCCUGGGCAGGGGUCUUGCUGAGCUCUGCAGCUGUGCAGGAAUUGCUCUCCAAAUUCGAGAUGUUCUCUGUAUUUAUUUUUCCGUCUGGGUCCGUUUGCUGACAGCCAACAACCCGUGGCUUCGGGCAGCCAGUGCCUGCGCUACAUAUUUUUGUUCAUCCGUCCCUCCCUGCCAAGAGCUGGAGUCAGACAACUGGCUCCGGCUGGUGCCAGCUCUGGUUGCUCACACAGGGAUUAGCACGUAAACUGCUUUGGUCCCCCUGCGGAGGCCGAGCGUGGCCUUCUCUCUUACCCUCCCGCUGCAGUUGCCUCUGUGAAAGAUGUCUCUGACUUUGCUCUUGACUUUCUGCAAGAGGUUGUUGUAACAAAAGGAUUUUUCCUGUUUUUUUCGGGUGUCUCUGCACCCUGGGUAACGUGGGAGAGCAUGAGUGCCUCGUGGUUCACUGUGUCUCAGGCUGCUCCUGUGCUUGACCCUUGGGCUGGACACCAAGAGGGAUUAAGGGGAAGUGUUGGACCUGGGGAUUUCCAGAGAACCAAGAAGUAAUCUCCUAGUGCUGGGAGACUAAAACAAACCCUCCCUGAGAUGGUGAGCACGACUGGAUUUCUCUGUUGUGGUUUCUCUGUGCUCACAGCCCUUGCCCAGGACUCCACAAACAGAAAUAAAAUCAGCCGAAAAAAUACAAGAGGCCCUGAGAUGAGAACUGGGCAAAUGAUGAAGGAAGACAGUAAAACCAAUGUAGAGAUCUUGGGCCACCUCAUCAAAUAGCAGGAGCUGGAGUGGGGGUAUUGAUUUCAGCAGAGCUGUGCCAGUUUAUGCAAGUUAGGGCUCUGACCUAAGUAUUUCACCGUAAUAAAGAUAUCCAGAUGCUGGAAAACUUCCAGGGAAACUGUC